rnacentral:rRNA from 1 species
GAUGUGAAAUCCCCGGGCUCAACCUGGGAACUGCAUCUGAUACUGGCAAGCUUGAGUCUCGUAGAGGGGGGUAGAAUUCCAGGUGUAGCGGUGAAAUGCGUAGAGAUCUGGAGGAAUACCGGUGGCGAAGGCGGCCCCCUGGACGAAGACUGACGCUCAGGUGCGAAAGCGUGGGGAGCAACCAGGAUUAGAUACCCUGGUAGUCCACGCCGUAAACGAUGUCGACUUGGAGGUUGUGCCCUUGAGGCGUGGCUUCCGGAGCUAACGCGUUAAGUCGACCGCCUGGGGAGUACGGCCGCAAGGUUAAAACUCAAAUGAAUUGACGGGGGCCCGCACAAGCGGUGGAGCAUGUGGUUUAAUUCGAUGCAACGCGAAGAACCUUACCUGGUCUUGACAUCCACGGAAGUUUUCAGAGAUGAGAAUGUGCCUUCGGGAACCGUGAGACAGGUGCUGCAUGGCUGUCGUCAGCUCGUGUUGUGAAAUGUUGGGUUAAGUCCCGCAACGAGCGCAACCCUUAUCCUUUGUUGCCAGCGGUCCGGCCGGGAACUCAAAGGAGACUGCCAGUGAUAAACUGGAGGAAGGUGGGGAUGACGUCAAGUCAUCAUGGCCCUUACGACCAGGGCUACACACGUGCUACAAUGGCGCAUACAAAGAGAAGCGACCUCGCGAGAGCAAGCGGACCUCAUAAAGUGCGUCGUAGUCCGGAUUGGAGUCUGCAACUCGACUCCAUGAAGUCGGAAUCGCUAGUAAUCGUGGAUCAGAAUGCCACGGUGAAUACGUUCCCGGGCCUUGUACACACCGCCC